GGGCCCCGCCUCCCCCUUGUGUGUCAUAUUUACAACUUCGAUGAGGAAGAUGAAGCGGAACUAUUCUUCUAGUCACGCAAAGAGAAAAAAAAACACAGCAAUCAGGUGUUUUAUGAGCUACAGGCGCUCAGCAUCAAGGGAAAUCCAAACCUGUGACCUCACUCUUUUGCCUGAGAUGCUGAUGCACAGCUACUUUCCUGCCCCAUCUUUCCUGUGUGGCCUACAUCGCCUUCAAGCCCCAUCUCUCCUGACACUCCUGGGGAAGAAGAGAAAGAAACACAGAAGAUGAGAGGAGGGGAGAGCGAGGAUGAAGAAUAUAUGGAGAAGAUUUGAGAGGAUCUAGGUCAAGGGGCGUGGCCACUCUCACCUGCUCUGCUCCAGCCAGUUGCAGAUCAUUCCAGUACUCAACCAACAGUUAUCAACCCGGGCUGUUCACCUCUUCAGCGCCAGUUCGUUGCAACCAUUCUCGUGAUUCUGCCUCUGGACCCGCUGCUCAUCAGCUUUCAUCUGCCUCCUCGCUGCCUACUCACCUCGCCCCUCCGCUCUCAACCAGCCAUUCCACCCAGUCGUCAUCUUCGCUGCCUGGCCACACACCCGCCUUCUGAUCUCCGGCUUCGACCCUACCUGGAGCAGCUAUCCUGGCCACCUCUCUCCUCCACUAUCAAACAUUGUAUCUAAUAAACACUGUAAACUGCU